GGCUGGUCUGAGUGCAGCGGUAUUUACAACUAAUUGAUCAAUAUCAGUUACAGACUCCUUUGUUCCUCCUUCCCUCCCACUGCUUCAUUUGACAAGCCGUGA
rnacentral:Y_RNA from 1 species